rnacentral:rRNA from 1 species
UACGGGGGGGGCAAGCGUUGUUCGGAAUUAUUGGGCGUAAAGAGCGUGUAGGCGGCCAGGUAGGUCUGCUGUGAAAACUCGAGGCUCAACCUCGAGACGUCGGCGGAAACCAUCUGGCUAGAGUCCGGAAGAGGAGAGUGGAAUUCCUGGUGUAGCGGUGAAAUGCGCAGAUAUCAGGAAGAACACCCGUGGCGAAGGCGGCUCUCUGGGACGGUACUGACGCUGAGACGCGAAAGCGUGGGGAGCGAACAGG